GAGUACCCACUGGCAGCUCUUGCAGGCACCGCCUGCCACUGUGGGUUUCCCACCACCCGAUUCCCGCUCCAUGACAGAGAGGAUGAGCAGCUCUGUGCCCAGAAGUGCAGCGCGGAAGAGUUUGAGAGCUGCGGGACUCCUAGUUACUUCAUUGUGUACCAGACACAAGUCCAAGACAACCGUUGCAUGGACAGAAGGUUCCUGCCAGGCAAGUCCAAGCAGCUCAUUGCUUUGGCCAGCUUCCCAGGUGCUGGCAACACGUGGGCUCGCCACCUCAUUGAGCUGGCCACAGGCUUCUACACUGGCAGCUACUACUUCGAUGGCUCCCUCUACAACAAAGGUGAGGAGACGGCAGGGAGGGCAGGGCAGGAAGUUCCCUGGGCUUGGGAAGGUCCCCACUUGGAGGGUAUGGGAAUACUCCUCCUUGAGUAUCUACUGUGUGCCACUCAACUCUCCCAGGCACACUUUUUGAGACUCACUGCAUGCUUGGUACCCCCCCUUCCUUUACGCCCCACAAACAUUUCUUGAGUCAUGUCCUGGAUACUCCACUAGCAUCCAUUCAAUAAUUGAC
rnacentral:sRNA from 1 species